AUUUGGAGAAAAAAAAAAGACCUCGGAGAUUAUCUAGACCAUGUCACAAUUAGGCAAGGAUCCCUUCAACAUCUAUAAUUGUUGUAGGAUCACCAUCAAUAUCGACAUCUAUUUGGGAUCCAUGGAAGCAAUGAAACCAUCCUCAAAGUCUAAGUGGUCCAGAAGACUGAAGCUUGAACUGAUAAUGAAACUUCCUAACCACCUAAGGCAUAAAAGCCCAGGUCUGAAGUGGCUGGUCUUCCUCAGACUUGACAGAUUUCUCACUGCCAUGUGAGUUAACACACUAUUCUGAUUUGGCUCAACAUGGAGGAGAUCAUUUAAAGAGAAUAUUCUGGGGCAACUAGGUGGCACAUUGGAUAGAGCACAGGCCCUGA